rnacentral:misc_RNA from 1 species
UCCGGUUUGUCACCGGCAGUCUCAUUAGAGUGCCCAACUGAAUGAUGGCAACUAAGGGCGAGGGUUGCGCUCGUUGCGGGACUUAACCCAACAUCUCACGACACGAGCUGACGACAGCCAUGCAGCACCUGUGUCCACGCCCCUUGCGGGGAGGAUUCCAUCUCUGGAAGCCGUCGUGGCAUGUCAAGGGCUGGUAAGGUUCUCCGCGUUGCAUCGAAUUAAUCCACAUCAUCCACCGCUUGUGCGGGUCCCCGUCAAUUCCUUUGAGUCUUAAUCUUGCGACCGUACUCCCCAGGCGGUCUACUUCACGCGUUAGCUGCGUUACCAAGUCAAUUAAGACCCGACAACUAGUAGACAUCGUUUAGGGCGUGGACUAC